UUUAUGUUUCGUUGGAUUUGUUGUGGUCCGUUGGCGUGCGCUGCGGACUGCAGCACAUGCGGAGGCCAGGCUUGAAGCCAGGCACGUGGAGCUGCCGCGGAGAGGGCCGCCUGGAGAGAGCGCGGGUCUGCGGGCAAAUGUGGAUGUGGAAGGAAGAAGACUCUGAUGGCACAGGCAGAGGCUGGGAAGUUGCAGCUGCAAAGCAACAACCCAAGAUGCAGCAAGUGCCAGAAACUAGGAAGAGCCCAUGGAGGACCCUACGCUGGAGCCUUCAGAUAGAGCAGGGAGCAGCAGGCCUCUGACAUCAGGCCCUGCCCUCCAGAACUUGCCUUCCACGACCAGUGAAGAUGCCUUUGAUCUCUGUCUUCAUUGCUCUCUUCAGAGGUUCCAUCAGCUUUGGACAGCUCUAUAGGCUAGAUGAGUUGGUGAGUGUUCUGCUCUCUUUGGCAGCUCCUUUGUUUUCAGAAACACACAGGUGAUUCUGUAGAAAUUGACCCUAAAAAUCCUUCAGCCUCAUCAGGAUUUCACCAGCUUUACAUGCACGUGUGUGUGUGUGUGUGUGUGUGUGUGUGUUGCUGUAUGAAAUACAUCAGCUCAGUAAUACGGUGCUAGAAAAAGAAGAUCCAUGUAGGAAAUGGCAUACUAAGAAGGUAGCUGGAGGAAGGAGAGACAUUUGUAUUGACAACCAUGCACACAGCAAGAAUAGUUCUAAGUAGCACAAAGACAGGUGGAUAAAUGUGUGUAGUAUCGUCCCCUGAAUAAUAGAGUAGUUAUGUCCCCUAGCAAUUCCACUGCUGGUGAUAUGAGGAAAUUUAGAAUUCAAGGACAGUGGGAUUUAAAGAUACACCUAAAAUAUAUACUUUGUCAAUAGAAGGUAGUUUAAGUUCCAGACAUUUUUGUAAUAAAACAAACACUUAGUACUUUCCUCAAUAACUAAGGAUCUUGGCAAUUUGGCCAUGUCCAUGGAGUCUUCCAGUUUGUAUUUUUUAAAAGAUAGAUAGAUAGGUAGAUCUAUUUAUGUAUUUAUUUGAAAGGCAGAGUUAGAGAAUGAGAGAGAGAAUCCAGUCUCCCAUCCACUGGUUCACUCCUGAAAUGGCCACAAUGGCUGGAAUUGUGCCUUUCUGAAGCCAGGAGCUUCUUCCAUGUCUCCCAUGUGGGUGCAGG